AGAGCUUCUAGAUAAUACUUCAGGGUAGGGCAGAUUAUGGAGCACCUCUAGAAAUGUUUGCAAAACUGCCUUUUCCCUCCUCCUAUCCCACACGCACCCAUGCACACUCAUAAAAUAUUCUCAGUUCAGAUAAGAUGUUUCAGCCAUAAAUCCAUCAUGGUGGGGCAGGAAGUUUUAUUUAGCAACUACAGAGCUGCAUUGCAAAGCAGUUAUCAAUUCAAGGAGGAAAGGUGCUCAGCUCGCCUAUCUCCUCAUCUCCCAGCUCCAGCGGAGACACCUGUCAGAAGGAGAGGCAGUAGCUGCCUUUCAGGUCUGACAUCUCUGAGGCCUGGCUGGGAUGGGGCUGGCCCCUGGGGCUGGGCAGGGUGCUUCCAGACAAAACUAGGACUGGGUGACCUCCUCAGAUGGGAGCAGGGCAUGGCUUUCAGAAGUAACCCCCCACCAAAAGCAGGGAAUUCUCCUUCAUCCCCUUGAUCCUUAAGAGAAGGGGCUCGUCCUGCCCUGUAAACCAGAAAAUUGGUCCUAAAGUUUGAGAUCAGAAGCAUUUUGCCGCUGGAGCUUUCUCAGAGAAGGGAGGUCAGUAUUCCAAUGCCAUAGAUAAUAGUCAGAGAGUCAUUCUCAUGGGAACUAAGCAGAUGGACAACCCCGGUCUUCUCCCUUUGAUUUCAGAGGGCAAAGAGAAGGCUUGAUUUGCGCCUUGGCUGGCAAAGCCCCCCAGUGGGGUAGGAGUCACUCUGUCCACAGUGACCACACACAGCUUUCAAAUCCAUAGGUCCCUUCAUGGCUUUGGAGGAGGGGGAAAAACUGCACCUUAGACCUUCUUUAUUCUCCAUUCCUUUCUGUCCUCCAGGACCAAUGGGGUA
rnacentral:lncRNA from 1 species